AGGCAGUGUAGUUAGAUGAUUUGA
rnacentral:miRNA from 1 species